GUUUUAGGAUAUCAUUCUGCUUUCAGAAAAUUUGUGGGGGCCCAUGAUACUGCAUGGACCCUAAAUAAAGCAUCUGUAGAAUUGGAAUGAAAUCGGUUGGGUAGUUCUCGAGUUUUAGUGAUGCACACAUACAGACAGACAUUCUCAAUUU